ensembl:lncRNA
CCUCUACACUCUAACCACUAGGAUACCUGCCUCCUCCACACUCUAACCACUAGGCUGCCUGCCUCCUCUACACUCUAACCACGAGGCUACCUACCUCCUCUACACCCUAACCACUAGGCUACCUACCUCCUCUACACUCUAACCACUAGACUACCUGCCUCCUCUACACUCUAACCACUAGGCUACCUACCUCCUCUACACUCUAACCACUAGGCUAUCCUGCCGCCUAUAUCAAGGACAGCAUCACAAAUUAAUACAUAAUUACCACUUGAAGCUUGAUGAGUUGAUCAUUUGUGUCAGCUGUGCAGUGCAAAAACGUGCACCCCUUUGAGUAGACAGGAUUUCACAGCUCUCUGUAACCGAGGACAGAAAACCUCACAAUAAACAGACUUCAUUAUACCUCACUGAAUAGUAUACUACUAUUAUCUCGGUUCUCACUUCUAGGGACUGGAACUACACAAAAGUACCUGCUCUAUCCACAGUUGGGGCUGCUAUCCUUUCACCCUCCUCUCUGGCUGUUAGGUAGCUACCUACAAAUGCAUUUGGAGUUUGUUUUUAUACAGGGAUAAAUACAUCAAGAUAGCUAGCAAAUAUGAAGUUAGAUAGCUGGUGAUAUUUAAUUCACUUAUCUAUACAGUAUGUAACGUUGGCUAGAUAUGUAACUAGCUAGCUCAUUUCAGCACUGUAGCUAGUUAGCUAAUAAUACAUCGUUUUUAAAUUUUUAUUACAUUUUAGAAAUGUAUUUACUUACUUGAAUAGGUUCUCCCAGCCAUGUGGACGAUUGGAAAACAGGACAGCAAAGUGUGUUUAGAGCAUUUUACUGUUGUAAUGACCUGACUAGAUCAUAAAGGAACAAUUGUCCAGACAAAGGACUGAGUUUACGGUGCAAAUAAAUGAAAGAUACUCGUAUAAAACAACCCGUGACCUUAUCUUGUGAAGACCAGACAUAAGAAAGAGACCAAUGGCUAAACACGGCAUUAAACUUGCUUUGCUCCACCCUGCUGCCAACCGUGGCCCUUUUACUCAGUGAAAAAGUUCAAUAUUUCCACAAACACACUGGGGAAUUACCCAAUAAUUU